rnacentral:lncRNA from 1 species
CUGAAACAGACGGUUGAAUUACUUAUGCUUCAUAUUUCAUAGGGUGCUAUAACUAUUGAUCCCUGCAAUGUUUUGUUAAUUAAUUAAUUCAUCUUUAUUUAUGUUUGCUGGCAUAUAAUUUUCUUUCCAUAUGACACCUAAGAUCAAGGUUAUAAUAAUUUCAUAAAAUUGGGUUCCUUUGCUUCUGUUAAGCUGUGUAUAUAAGAUAAGGAAUAUUUAUUUCAUUAAAUUAUAAAAGAAAUCUCUGCAAAAUAUAUAGAAGUUGGUAACUGUUUUUAUACUUUGGUUAGUUUUGUUACUUUAUAUAUUUCUGUGUGUUUACAUAAUUAUAUGGAAAUAUUAACUUAUAUUUUAAAAUCAUAAAUUAAAAAGUAUAGAAAUUAUAUUUUUUAUAUUAUGUGCAGUUGUAUGAGAAGCUCCUUACUACUUACUCAUGGGAGAGUUUGCUAUUUUGUUCUAUUCAAGCAUUCAAUUUAGGUAAGAGCUACCACAAUAAAGAUGUUGAUCUUAUACCCAGCUACUUUACAGUUAACAUUUUUUUCUUUUUUAUUAUUUUAAUUGACAGAUAAAAUUGUAUUUCUUUCUUUCUUUCUUUC